rnacentral:rRNA from 1 species
CAGCAGCCGCGGUAAUACGUAGGUGGCAAGCGUUGUCCGGAUUUAUUGGGCGUAAAGCGAGCGCAGGCGGUCAAUUAAGUCUGAUGUGAAAGCCCACGGCUCAACCGUGGAGGGUCAUUGGAAACUGUUAAACUUGAGUGCAGGAGAGAAAAGUGGAAUUCCUAGUGUAGCGGUGAAAUGCGUAGAGAUUAGGAGGAACACCAGUGGCGAAGGCGGCUUUUUGGCCUGUAACUGACACUGAGGCGCGAAAGCGUGGGGAGCAAACAGGAUUAGAUACCCCGGUAGUCCCUGUCUCUUAUAC